rnacentral:misc_RNA from 1 species
UUCACCUAGGCUAAGCUCAAGGAAAUAAGUAGGUCUUACCAUACAGAUACAGAGUAUCGGAAUGAGCUAUAAGAAGAAAGGUAGAGUAAUAGUUAGAAAGUUGUUAGAAGGUUGUUAGUUUGUUGCAAGGGUUUUUAGUUAGUAAUUAAAACUGUAACAACUCAUUAGAGUUUAGUGAGGAGAAUAUAAAGCAUCUAAAAUGUACAUACGAGUCUUGUGCAUUGAAUAAGAAGAUUCUUAGCUCCUCUAUCUCAUUCUUCUAGUACUCUUAUUCUUCAAUGUAUGGCUUUGCAUAAUAAGUCAUGACCUAGCUUGCCUAAUCACAAUGGCUAGUCAUAGCUCAGGGAGUUUUGUUUUGGGGUCAAAUUUUCUUUUGUAACAAUUUUUUAUCCAAUUAGUUAUACUUUUAGUUAAUUGGUUAAAGAAAGAAUGCUAGUAG